AAUCCAUAGGUUAAUGAGGCGAACCGGGGGAACUGAAACAUCUAAGUACCCCGAGGAAAAGAAAUCAACCGAGAUUCCCCCAGUAGCGGCGAGCGAACGGGGAGGAGCCCAGAGCCUGAAUCAGCAUGUGUGUUAGUGGAAGCGUCUGGAAAGGCGCGCGAUACAGGGUGACAGCCCCGUACACAAAAGCGCAUGUGCUGUGAGCUCGAUGAGUAGGGCGGGACACGUGGUAUCCUGUCUGAAUAUGGGGGGACCAUCCUCCAAGGCUAAAUACUCCUGACUGACCGAUAGUGAACCAGUACCGUGAGGGAAAGGCGAAAAGAACCCCGGCGAGGGGAGUGAAAAAGAACCUGAAACCGUGUACGUACAAGCAGUGGGAGCACAGGUUUACCUGUGUGACUGCGUACCUUUUGUAUAAUGGGUCAGCGACUUAUAUUCUGUAGCAAGGUUAACCGAAUAGGGGAGCCGGAGGGAAACCGAGUCUUAAUUGGGCGUUAAGUUGCAGGGUAUAGACCCGAAACCCGGUGAUCUAGCCAUGGGCAGGUUGAAGGUUGGGUAACACUAACUGGAGGACCGAACCGACUAAUGUUGAAAAAUUAGCGGAUGACCUGUGGCUGGGGGUGAAAGGCCAAUCAAACCGGGAGAUAGCUGGUUCUCCCCGAAAGCUAUUUAGGUAGCGCCUCGUGAAUUCAUCUCCGGGGGUAGAGCACUGUUUCGGCUAGGGGGCCAUCCCGGCUUACCAACCCGAUGCAAACUGCGAAUACCGGAGAAUGUUAUCACGGGAGACACACGGCGGGUGCUAACGUCCGUCGUGAAGAGGGAAACAACCCAGACCGCCAGCUAAGGUCCCAAAGUCAUGGUUAAGUGGGAAACGAUGUGGGAAGGCCCAGACAGCCAGGAUGUUGGCUUAGAAGCAGCCAUCAUUUAAAGAAAGCGUAAUAGCUCACUGGUCGAGUCGGCCUGCGCGGAAGAUGUAACGGGGCUAAACCAUGCACCGAAGCUGCGGCAGCGACACUGUGUGUUGUUGGGUAGGGGAGC
rnacentral:rRNA from 1 species